rnacentral:rRNA from 1 species
AGGGAAACCGAGUCUUAACUGGGCGUUAAGUUGCAGGGUAUAGACCCGAAACCCGGUGAUCUAGCCAUGGGCAGGUUGAAGGUUGGGUAACACUAACUGGAGGACCGAACCGACUAAUGUUGAAAAAUUAGCGGAUGACUUGUGGCUGGGGGUGAAAGGCCAAUCAAACCGGGAGAUAGCUGGUUCUCCCCGAAAGCUAUUUAGGUAGCGCCUCGUGAAUUCAUCUCCGGGGGUAGAGCACUGUUUCGGCUAGGGGGCCAUCCCGGCUUACCAACCCGAUGCAAACUGCGAAUACCGGAGAAUGUUAUCACGGGAGACACACGGCGGGUGCUAACGUCCGUCGUGAAGAGGGAAACAACCCAGACCGCCAGCUAAGGUCCCAAAGUCAUGGUUAAGUGGGAAACGAUGUGGGAAGGCACAGACAGCCAGGAUGUUGGCUUAGAAGCAGCCAUCAUU